rnacentral:rRNA from 1 species
AUGAGAUUAAUAUGGUCUACUCUUGUCCUCCUGCUGAUCGUCCUUGUGAGCGCCGACGAUGAGGCCGCUUUGCUUGCUUUCAAAGCACAGCUCGGCCAUGGCGGCUCACUGGCCUCCUGGAACACCAGCGGUGGCUUCUGCCGCUGGGAAGGUGUGGCGUGCAACCACCGAAGGCCAGCAAGGGUGGUGGCGCUGAUACUGAACAAGAGAGGGCUCACUGGAGCACUCUCCCCGGCCAUCGGGAACCUCACCUUCCUACGAACACUCAAUCUGAGGGACAACUCACUCCACGGGAGGAUCCCAACGAGCCUCGGCCGCCUCCGCCACCUAAAGAGGCUCAUCUUGGAUGAUAACUCCUUCUCCGGCACUUUCCCGCCAAACCUGAGUUCCUGCGCCAGCAUCACCGAAAUGAGACUGAGCAGCAACAAGCUUAGUGGGCUCAUCCCGGCUGAGCUCGGCUAUAAGCUGACUUUCCUGUCUGUGAUGUCACUAAGAAAAAACAAGUUCACAGGGCCCAUCCCGGCGUCCCUGGCCAACCUGUCCUAUCUACAAACCCUUGAUCUCUCCUUUAACCAGCUCACUGGCUCGAUCCCAUCGGGGCUUGGAAGCAUCCAUAGCAUACAACAUUUCGAUUUCCAUGAAAACCUCCUCACCGGUAUGUUUCCACCUUCUCUCUACAACUUAUCAAUGCUAAAAGUAUUUGAUGUCGGGUUUAAUAUGUUGUAUGGAAGCAUUCCAAAUGAUAUCGGAAGCAAGUUCCCCAAGUUGACAGGCCUUCACUUACCUAGUAAUCACUUCACGGGAGCCAUCCCUCCCUCAAUAUCCAACAUAUCUUCCCUCGUCUAUCUUGAUCUCGUGACAAAUAGCUUUUCUCAGUACGUGCCUCCCACAUUGGGGAUGCUGGGAGCUCUCGAGUUUCUGAACUUGGCUGACAAUAGGCUGGAAGCGAAUGACACCAUGGGGUGGGAAUUCAUCACCUCUUUGGCAAACUGUAGCCGACUAGAGAUAUUGGAACUUAGUGUCAAUCCUUUUGGAGGGCAACUACCAGGUUCAAUUGUCAACCUCUCAACAACUCUCCAUGCCUUAGACCUAAUUGAAAAUAUGAUCACUGGGGUUUUUCCUACGGACAUAGGAAAUCUAGUUGGUCUGACAAGGCUUGUGAUAGUAGAUACUUUCAUAUCCGGAGUGAUUCCAGAAAGUAUUGGUAAGCUAGAGAACUUGAUCGAUCUAGGCUUGUACAAUAAUAGAUUGUCUGGCCUCAUACCUUCGUCUAUGGGGAACCUCUCACAGUUGAACAGGCUUCUUGCAGACAAUGGCAACUUGGAGGGGCCAAUUCCGGCAAGCCUGGGGGAGUUGAAAAACCUUUUUGAACUUGACCUAUCAAAGAAUUACCAUCUUAAUGGUUCAAUACCAAGAGAAAUUUUCAAAUUAUCCGCCCUUUCUUCCCUUUUGGAUUUAUCGUACAAUUCCCUUUCCGGACCACUUCCUAAUGAAGUUGGCAGUUUAAAAAAUCUUAACCACCUCAUUCUAUCAGGAAACCAAUUGUCUGGCAAGAUACCCAAUAGUAUUCAAAAUUGCUUAGUGUUGGAAUUGCUAUCAUUAGACAACAAUUUGUUCCAAGGAAGCAUACCUUUGUCACUGAAAAAUAUGAAGGGGCUUAGUGUAUUGAACCUGACCAUGAAUAUCCUCUCGGGUAAUAUUCCUGAUGCCCUUGGAAAUAUUGGAAACCUGCAGGAGUUGUACCUAGCACACAACAACUUCUCCGGGUCAAUCCCAUUGGUUCUAGAGAAUUUGACAUCAUUGUCAAAACUGGAUGUAUCUUUCAAUAAUUUGCAAGGUGAGGUACCAAACGAAGGUGUUUUUAGAAACAUCACUUACUUAGCGGUUGCUGGGAACAUCAAUUUGUGUGGUGGUACACCUCAACUUCACUUGCCUCCAUGCUCAACAAGACCCUCAAGCAUGAAAAAAAGAAAGAUGCGAAAGUCUCUUGUAAUUUCUCUAGCGGCAGCUGGAGCAAUCUUGUUGUCACUUUCAGUUAUUCUCCUUGUUUGGAUACUUUGCAAGAAGCUCAAACAAAGCGAGAAGACAGUAGCACACAAUUCAGUUGUUGAUGACCAUUACAAGAGAAUCCCCUAUCAUGCAUUAUGGAGAGGAACCAAUGAAUUUUCAGAACUCAACCUACUCGGGAGAGGAAGUUAUGGUGUGGUUUAUAAGUGUGUUUUGGACAAUGAACACAGAACAUUGGCUGUCAAGGUGUUUAAUCUUGGUCAAUCCACGUAUUCAAAGAGUUUUGAGGCGGAAUGUGAGGCCAUGAGAAGGAUACGACACCGUUGUCUCAUUAAGGCCAUUACUUCUUGUUCGAGCGUCAACCACCAAGGUCAAGAGUUCAAGGCAUUGGUUUUUGAGUUCAUGCCCAAUGGUAACUUGGAUAUUUGGCUUCAUCCAAGAUGCCAAGAGCCCAUUUUAGACAACACACUCAGCCUUGCCCAGAGGCUUGAUAUUGUUGUUGAUAUUGUGGACGCAGUGGAAUAUCUGCACAACUACUGUCAGCCACCGGUGAUCCACUGCGAUCUUAAGCCAAGCAACAUUCUUCUUGCUGAAGACAUGAGUGCACGAGUUGGAGACUUUGGCAUAUCAAGGAUCCUUCAAGAAAAUACAAGUGCGGAGAUGCAAACUUCAUAUGGGUCAACUGGAAUUAGAGGUUCCAUAGGCUAUGUUGCUCCAGAGUACGGAGAAGGCUAUGCGGUCUCUACAGCUGGUGAUAUUUAUAGCCUUGGCAUAUUGAUGCUUGAGAUGUUUACUGGAAGGAGUCCAACAGAAGACAUAUUCAAAGAUUUAUUGGAUCUGCAUAGGUUUGUCGAGGAUGCUCUUCCAGAUAGAACACCGGAGAUAGCAGACCCAACAAUGUGGCUGCACAAUGGACAACAUGAUAACAAUGCAAGUAUUAGAAUCCAGGAGUUGUUGGUUUCAGUCUUGAGGCUUGGCAUAACCUGCUCAAAGCAGCAUCCUCGAGACCGAGCACUGACAAGAGAUGCAGCAGCAGAGAUGCACACAAUAAGAGAUGUGUACCUCAAGUUCAUAGCGGAGCAUGGAGAAGAACGAGAAUCCUCGACGAGAGAAAUCCAGAACAACUUUGAAUAA